GCCUUCGUGGUGUAACGGUAGCACACUCGAGAGGUCCAGGUUCGAGUCCCGGCAAGGGCA
rnacentral:tRNA from 1 species